GGGGGUAUAGCUCAGUUGGUAGAGCGCCUGCCUUGCACGCAGGAAGUCRGCGGUUCGAGUCCGCUUACCUCCA
rnacentral:tRNA from 1 species